rnacentral:lncRNA from 13 species
UUGACCCCAAUAUCACCCAGUUUCAACACAGUGGGGGUGGGGUCUAUGCUCUCUGCCAUCUGUCACAUCAUCAUGACACGAACAUCAUGACAUGAUCGUGGCGAGCGUCAGUGCAGUCAAUCAGGGCACGUCCUGGCACAAUUGAGGUAGAGAAACGGUGAUUGCAAAUCUUUUUUUCGAGGAUAUUAUUUGGUUUUCACAUAUACGGCUAUGGUAUGUGAUUGACGAAAUGACAUCUGGAUUUAUGAUGCUGAUUCAUUUAGUUCAUCACUGCGCAAUAAAUGCGCAAAUCUAAUAUUCUUGAAAAUACAAACCCACUGAACCCGCUUACGACCAAUGAACAAAGCGAAGGGCGUGACCAGGGUAAAUUUCGAGGAGAUACGUCACUCAAACUACGAACCAGGGGUAAACAGGAAAUGCAAAUAAUAUUUGUAGCUAGAAUUCACUCGUUAGCUAAAGUCAAAGGUCAAAAAAGAGAAGGGAAUGAGAUAAUAGAAUUUAGGGUAUGGAAUGACCAUAAGGGGAGCACGACCCACGAACCCCCACCACACAGCCGAGAGCUUGGGUGGCACCAAGCCCAGUUCAGCCCCCCAAAUCACAACCAGCACCAGGACAUCAAACAGGGCAGGUGAGACUGGACUGGGUAAUGAAUGAAAGUGUUAACCCUGCUCCUGGAAAACUACUGGGUGUGCAGGCUUCUGUUCCUGACCAGUGCUAACAGAUCGGAUUCAUUAACACCUUGAUUACCUGAAUCAGGUAUUCUAGCAAUGUAAAGGAGCUUCCAUUUAAUGAAUUUGAGGAAAAUUGUUAAUGGUACACUAUUUUCUAGAUUGUUAUUAAUUCCAUCCUCCUGUCACAGGUGAGCCCUUCAGUCCAUACAGACAGUUCAUGAAAAAACACAAGGUCUACACAUGAGAAAGAGCUGUUUCACUGUCACCUAAAAUCCAUUUAAACAACAAAUCAUUUUCAUUUUGGUAUUUUAAUUCAUAUGUUGAGUAUAUAGGAAUCUCUUGUUGCUGCUAAGUGCAAAUAAAUAUUUGCAUGUGUAUCUACUAGUAACCGUCUGUUCUGAUUUUACAUGUUUUGAUCACAUAUCUGAAUUCUAAGAGCAUUACAUUCCUUCUCAAUGUUACAUACAGGUCCAGUACCCUGGCCACACACCAACCUCAUUGGCAGAAAUAAGUGACGGUCUGUGCUGUUUAAGAUGAGGGAAGAUUAUAUAUUUUUUUAAUGAGCAUGGCUGUAUUUCUAUUACAGCAUAUUGGAUGACUCAUUCAUAUUCCAUUCAACCAGUUCAAUGUAACAGCAAUAGGGUUAGGCUACUACAUGAUACUCAAAUUUUCCCAAUACCCAUGAGGUUGCUGCAACCUAGCCUAUGAAUGAAAGUUUACAACGUAGGUGCACACAGGUCAAGAUACAUUUUUGAGCUGACACAUGGACAGACGGACACAUUCAAUAUAACCUUGCACACUCUUGCCUGCGUCUAGCUGAUAUAGUGUAAUCAUUAGUUCAACAGUUGCAAAUGAGUUUCUAUUGGACAAAUGCAGGUAUGUUUAUCCCAUUUUUGUUACCGUUUAAGAAAAGUUUUUCAGCAGAAUGAAUAUACCGCUAUGUGUAAACACAGUCCACUUUCAUAGCAGCCACAUUGCGUUUAUGCGCUGUCCCUUCGCUUGUGGACUUCAAUGCAUAACACAUCGGCUGUAUGUGAAAAAUAAUAUUUUCAUGCCAAACCAUAUAACCGCUACACACAGCCCACAUCGUUGUCACCAUAUUAGCUAAAGUAACGUCAUAGUCAACAUGGCUAAUAGAACGCAUGAAUAAACCCGCUACAAUCAUGUAACGUACAGUCAAUAAGCAGUUUAGCAUUUACACCAGUGGGCCUUGGUGGCAAUAAAUUAGUAAAACCAAAAGCUUACCUAAGCUAGCUAAAUUAGUAUCCGUCUGUUUGAGCAGGGUGUUUGUGUAGGCUAAACUAGCUAGCUGCAUUUUCUAGCUAAAAGAAACUGAAAUAAAGAACAUCUACAUUUCUCCUCUUUUGGAAGAUAUUUUGUUCAAAACUGUUCAACUAUUGUCUCUUUGUCAACUACUUCCCACAUUUUAUGCAGUGCUAGCUAGUUGUAGCAGCAUUCAUUCUCUGAUCCUUGGAUUAGGUGGACAUGUCAGUUAAUGCUGCAAGAGCUCUGAUAGGUUGGAGGACAUUCUCUGUAAGUUGUCAUAAUUACUGCAUAAGUCUAUGGAAGUGGGUGAGAACCAUGAGCCUCCUAGGUUUUGUAUUGAAGUCAAUGUACCCAAAAGGAGCUAGCUGUUCUCCAGCUACAUCAUGGUGCUACCCUACAAAGUGCUGUUGAGGCUACUGUAGACCAUUGCAAAAUGGUGUUUUAAUCAAAUAUUUGGGGACAUGUGAUUAUAUUUAGUAUAGUCUUAUCCAAGGAUAACUUUUUAAACAUAAAAUAAAAAUCACUGAGGAUGGUCUUCCCCUUCCUCCUCUGAGGAGCCUUCACUGGCAGAAAUAAGCAUAAAAAAGCAUAGACUAGGUCUACUUGGUGCAUGUAUAAGACGACACACAAUGAUCAGUUCUAUUUUUAUUUAUCUUUUUUACAUUUUGUACAAUGUGAAAAAACAUACACAAAACCAUAGAGUAGACUGGUCACAAGAGCCAGAGAGGACAGGAAUCCAAGGGUACAACAUUAAAUAACUUAGUGAUAUGUCAUUUUGUCAGGAUAAUCUUUUAACCACUUGAGGAUAAAUAACAUAUUUACUGUUAAUAGGAUGACUAGUAGCUUAUGUGUGAGCAUGUGCUGUACAGUGGGUUGUGUUGUAAGUAAGCCCAAGGUCUAAAACCAGUUAGCAUGCAAAAUUCAGGAAACACAUAUGGAUACAUUGACAACUAAAAUAUGUGCCUGUGACAGCGGUGAAUGGCAAUUAAAGAUCGGCACUUUGUGUGGACUCACUUACAGCAAGGCAAAGAUUAACAACAAAAAAAAGCAGGAUCUCAGUUUUCCAAAUAUCAAAAACACUGUUUUUCUAAAGUCAGUAACAACCAUCCUCAGCAUGCAAACAACUCCAUUCCCCCUCGGUUCCUAUAGAACUUCAAACAUAGCAUAUUCUGCAAUGCAGUAACUUAAUAUUCUCUAGAGAAGUGAAAGUAGUUAUUCAAUCCAGGACUGGGUAGGUGAGAAGGGCACUGUAGUGAGUGGAAUGGUACCAUUCAUGCGAGGUGACAAAGAAGCAAGAUAAUGGUACCAAUGAGGGAAAAAAACAAGACAACGGUUUAGUUCUCCUUUUCUUAAAAUAAGUGAUGCUAUGCAAUACUGUACUGAUUACAUUCAUUCAGAAAACCUACUAACAGACUAAUCUUACCCAAAUCUACCUUUGACAACCAAUAUAAGAUACGCAGCUUACACACAAACACAAAUGCCAUUGGUGACGACAGAAAAUAACUUGUCUUCAUACAACCCUGUGUGCUCUGCAUUCAAUUAGACAGUCUUGUGUUGGUAUACGACUGUCACCUAUACGACUGUCACCUGCCUCUUCUGACACUGACUUGUUAAGGUAUGUAAAACUUCCUCUUAACCUCCACAUUAGACAUUUACCGAUGUCUGAGGACGUUUCUGAUGGAUGUCAUUGGUUGGUAAUAAAAACAGGUCUUUCAGUCACUGGACUUUAAGCCAUCAGAACCACAGGCCUAGGUGAUUACGGUGGAAUUUCUCUCAGUAGUGAGAAUGCAAGGCACUAAAAAGAGUUCUGCAAGUUUUUACUGUUACUGUGUGGGGGUGGGUUACAGCAAGACAUAGAGUACUCUAUGAUGAGCAUUAUGUGAAAGCAUAAUUUAAUACGAAACAUGUACUGUGUGUGUACAAACCCAUGUGUGUGUGUGUGUGUAUACACACACACACACACANNNNNNNNNNUAGGUGAGAAGGGCACUGUAGUGAGUGGAAUGGUACCAUUCAUGCGAGGUGACAAAGAAGCAAGAUAAUGGUACCAAUGAGGGAAAAAAACAAGACAACGGUUUAGUUCUCCUUUUCUUAAAAUAAGUGAUGCUAUGCAAUACUGUACUGAUUACAUUCAUUCAGAAAACCUACUAACAGACUAAUCUUACCCAAAUCUACCUUUGACAACCAAUAUAAGAUACGCAGCUUACACACAAACACAAAUGCCAUUGGUGACGACAGAAAAUAACUUGUCUUCAUACAACCCUGUGUGCUCUGCAUUCAAUUAGACAGUCUUGUGUUGGUAUACGACUGUCACCUAUACGACUGUCACCUGCCUCUUCUGACACUGACUUGUUAAGGUAUGUAAAACUUCCUCUUAACCUCCACAUUAGACAUUUACCGAUGUCUGAGGACGUUUCUGAUGGAUGUCAUUGGUUGGUAAUAAAAACAGGUCUUUCAGUCACUGGACUUUAAGCCAUCAGAACCACAGGCCUAGGUGAUUACGGUGGAAUUUCUCUCAGUAGUGAGAAUGCAAGGCACUAAAAAGAGUUCUGCAAGUUUUUACUGUUACUGUGUGGGGGUGGGUUACAGCAAGACAUAGAGUACUCUAUGAUGAGCAUUAUGUGAAAGCAUAAUUUAAUACGAAACAUGUACUGUGUGUGUACAAACCCAUGUGUGUGUGUGUGUGUAUACACACACACACACACANNNNNNNNNNAUAUGUAUAUAUAUAUAUAUAUAUAUGUAUAUAUAUAUAUAUAUACAUAUACACACACACACACACGUAUAUAUAUAUGUAUAUAAAACAAAAUAAAAUUCCAAGGUGGUGUAUGAUAAGAGCAGAAGAAGCACAUAACUACUCCCCUGUGUGACAGAUUAUAAUACUAAUAAUAACCCUGCAAUUGCACUUUUAUAUUCCUUUAACUACAUGUUGUUUAACAACCUUUAAUAAUUACUGUGAAACAUCAAAAUCUGAUCGCUGAACAGGUCGAUAAAGAACAUUUUGUAUUUUUAUUUAAAAUAUACACAUAAAACAAGCCACAGAAACCCCAGACAAUUUGUCAUGAUUCUGAAAGAUGACAACUGGAAAUAAGGUUAAAGACAUUUUUGUUGACAUUGCUUAGAGGUCUGUGUGUGAACACCAUGCACCGUUCACUCGCAAGAUGACCCUAUGUAUCAAGAAUGUAAUUCCUUUCUAACAGAACUGUACCAAGGACCAUAGCCUUGCUUAGCAGAGUCUGACUACAGUACACCAGGUGGUGAGGUGUGAGACAACUGACUGACACAGUAGCUAAGGUCGAAAACCAAAUGAUCACAGUAGCUGAAGCCAACAACUCAAACCACUGAGCCUAACCAGUCGCUAAGGCGUAAACCUAAAACACUCAUGGAUACAGUCACUUCAGGGUAAAUCCAAAGCCUGGACAAGACAG